ACUCAAAUGAAUUGACGGGGGCCCGCACAAGCAGCGGAGCGUGUGGUUUAAUUCGAGGCUACGCGAAGAACCUUACCUGGGUUUGACAUCACAUCGAACGAGCGUGAAAGCGUGAGGGUCCUUCGGGACGAUGUGACAGGUGCUGCAUGGCUGUCGUCAGCUCGUGUCGUGAGAUGUUCGGUUAAGUCCGAAAACGAGCGCAACCCCCGGGCUGUGUUACAAGUGUCACAGCCGACUGCCGGCGGCAAGCCGGAGGAAGGUGGGGAUGAUGUCAAGUCAGCAUGGCCUUUAUAUCCAGGGCGACACACACGCUACAAUGGGCGGUACAAUGGGACGCGCAGCCGCGAGGUGGAGCCAAUCCCCAAAGCCGUUCGUAGUUCGGAUUGCAGGCUGCAACCCGCCUGCAUGAAGUUGGAGUUGCUAGUAACCGCGCAUCAGCACGGUGCGGUGAAUACGUUCCCGGGCCUUGUACACACCGCCCGU
rnacentral:rRNA from 1 species